GCUGUUCCCAGAUCAGUUGAGGGUGGGAACAGUGCACUGGUAUAAAUUACAGAGAGUCACACUGAUCUGUCCUUUCCAUGACCAGAUCCUUCUGCAGCCAGAUCAACAAGGUCUACGGUGUUUCCUCUGUGGGAGACGCUGUGGAAACUUGACUGGUCUUGGAGCACUAAUGUCAUCAUGAAGGAGGCGGAGGUCAUGUAAAUCCUUGCUGCCAGGGGCGGGGUCAUCUGGCACAGCGCCAUUCAGAGGGGAAACUCAUUUGCAUGAGUCUCAAUCUUUGUUUUGUGCUGGUGUCCAGAUGUGCAGAGGCCUGCGCAGUCUG
rnacentral:lncRNA from 1 species